UACAAGAUCGAUGGAACUCUCUACCUUACCUUGUCCUGGAGAAGUUGCAGAAUCUGCCUGUGUACAGGGUGAAGCCAAAAUCAGGAACAGGAGGUGUGAGAACUUUGCACCGGGAUCACUUGUUGCCAAUUGGAGAAGAAGUGAGGAUAAACUUACCUGCUGAAAGGGAAGAAGUUCCACGUCACAUGGUGACCAGAUCCAAAACUGUCAAAAGGACACAGAAAAAAGCAAUAAGACAUGAAGUGGACCCAGAAAGUUGUAAAUGUGUGGAUAUAACUUCUGACAGUGACGACAGUAGUCAUUGUGCAUAUUACCCAGUUGAACAAACAGUAGACCUUGGAACACUAUCUUUUCCAUCAUAUGAGAGGGAGAAAGUGAAGAGCCCUACUAGGUCUCAAAAGGAUCCUGCUCAGGUGGAAGUGACUGGAGGAGAUUUGUCACAUGAUGAUGAUGUGGAAAGUGUUUCAGCCCAGAUGCUGGAGAACUUGGGGGAUUCAGUUUCUGAUAAAGAAGUCAAUGAAUCAGUGAAUGUUACAAGAGAAGAAGAAGAGGGAAGAGUUGAAAAUCGUCCAAAGAGGAUGACAAAACCAGUUCAGAAACUAAGUUAUGAUGCACUUGGGAAAUCUACUGAUAGACCCUUAACAAUCAUAUAUAGGGGUAUGGUAGUGAAAAUUCAAGAGUCUUCUAAGGUGAAGAGUGCUUGCAAUACAUUGUGGUGUCACCCAAUGGCCACAUGUGAACAUUGUGUUAAUGUGCAUCCAAACCUGAAGUCUGAAGUUAUGCUACAGUUGUAGUUAAGAACCUCAUGGGGACAUGAGUAUUUCAGUAGGGGGAGAGUGUAACCCAGUUAGGGUUAUUAUUUUGAGUUAAUAACAGAAUGGGUUAAUGAUGGAUAAAAUAAGCAAGUUAUUAUUGAGUAAAUAAUAUCUAAUGCAUGAGAAGGGUUAAUUUGGAAUACAUAAGAUGGGAGUACAUAAUUUAUGCUUAUGUACAUGUGUUAUUUUGUGUUUCAGUUGAGAACUACAUUUUAAAGCACUGUUUCUUUAAGAAAUACGGUGAUUCUUAAAGUUUGUAUGUAAUGCACUUGCAGAAAAUGUGCUUUUGCCUAGCAAGUUAGUAUUAUUUUUUGCUGAUAGGUUGUUGUUUUGUUUGUUCCCACCCUCACGUGUGAGAGUGUGAUUCUGAUUGGACGAGAUGGAAAAAAAGGUGAACAGAGAGGGACGCACGAGAGUGUUGUUCAGAUGGUGGAGAAGAAAAUGUACAUGUAAACGCUGUAUAAGUCGUUGAAACUUACAUUUCUUCAUAUCGGAGAGUCUAAGGACAUUCAUGAAAGUGUAUGCACGUUACUCUGCACGAGUAUAAGCCGGUUUUCUUUUGUAGUGUUGAGUUCAGUCGUUAUUGUGAGAAUACACGAUAGAUAAUCGGACAUUCAGGUACACUGGACUGCAUUAAAGUUUAUUUUGUUUCAUCUAACGAGUCUUGCUGGAUCAACAAAGACCCAGAUAGCAUUCUAAAUCCCCGAGUGAUUUAGAAUACCUCUGGCGCCGUGGGACGUGAUCAGCUCAACAGCGUCAUAGUGAAGUGGCCAUUUGUUGUUUCACGGCCUCAACGAUCUCUAGCAACGUCCAGGCCUGCAACGGGGAGGGGUUGGGACUUGCGAGGUGUGUAUGUAUGUGCGCGCACGUGUCUAUGUGAGUGGCCACUCAAACGUUAAAACUGGUACUGUUUCAACUAUUGUUUGUGAAACGAGUAUUUAUUGAUAUUAUGUUUAUUUGAGAUAUUAAGGAAGUGUUGAACUGUCAUAAUUGGUUAUUUAAAGUGAUUGCAUAUUUUCUUAAAAGGGAAAAAAGACACAAGACAAGUGUAUGGUUUAAUUUGAAGUUUAUUGAACAUUUGACAUUUAAACACAUAUUUUCACAUUUAUUUAUUUUGUUUUACUGUGUAUAAAUAAACCUAAAGGUUAAUUUUGUUAUACUUA